UUCCGUCUUGCACCCUCGCCUUCUCCUCCCCCCUCCCUCCGUCUUUGUCCCUUUCCUCUCUCUCCCUCAAUUUCCCCGUCUCCCUCUCCACUCGCCCUUUUUUUUCUGUCGCUCUCCCUCUCCCCCCCAUCUCUCGAUCUCUCUCCUUUUUUCUCCUUCUCUCUCCUUCCCUCCCUCCCAGGUCUCUCUCCUCCCCCCCCUUCCCUUUUUCUCCUUCCCUCUCUCCCUCCCCUCGCAGCAGCUCGGAGCCAGGUCUGGAGCUGGGGGUGGGGUGGGGGUGGUUCGAGAAGGGGCCCACGGCUGGGGUAGCGACCUGCUGAGGAGGGGGAGGAGAGGCGGGAAGGGGGCGGAGGAGGCGCGCGCGGGGGGGCCAGAGACGGGUCUACGGUCCCAGCUCUCAUCCGCCUUCCCUCCUUCCCAACCUCCCAGACCCUCAGGCGGGGGCGAGAGUCAGGCCAAGGUGGGGAGGAAGGGGAAGGGAGGAGGCUGCCCCCGCCCCCCCAACAACCUGGCCCAGAGCCCAGGCUGGGUUCCCAGCAUGCCCCGGGGCUGCCUGGGGCCUGAGGAGGGGGGUGAGAGGAGAGGGGAAGCGGAGAAUCUUAAAGAUUUGCAGGACCUGAGCAUCUCCCCAGUCGGCCAGCAAAUUUCUCUUCGGGGAAACUGAGGCCCAGGGAGAAGGGUCAGGACUUGUUCAAGGUCACUGGACAAGGCCUUGGGUGGAGACACCCAUAGGCCCAUAGGCCCGAUUUGGGGACAAGGUUGGCGCUGGACUUCCCCCAGGUCUGGGGCCCCCUCCCCCUCACUGCAGACCCUGGGGAGCCCCCAAGGGUCAGAGAGCAGACCCAAACAGUCUGGCACCAUGGCAACCAGCUGGCCCCGCCCCCUUAACCCCCAGAGGGUUAGACUCCAGCU
rnacentral:lncRNA from 1 species